CCUACGGGCGGCUGCAGUCGAGAAUCAUUCACAAUGGGGGAAACCCUGAUGGUGCGACGCCGCGUGGGGGAAUGAAGGUCUUCGGAUUGUAAACCCCUGUCAUGUGGGAGCAAAUUAAAAAGAUAGUACCACAAGAGGAAGAGACGGCUAACUCUGUGCCAGCAGCCGCGGGAAUACAGAGGUAUCAAGCGUUGUUCGGAAUCACUGGGCGUAAAGCGUGCGUAGGCUGUUUCGUAAGUCGUGUGUGAAAGGCGCGGGCUCAACCCGCGGACGGCACAUGAUACUGCGAGACUAGAGUAAUGGAGGGGGAACCGGAAUUCUCGGUGUAGCAGUGAAAUGCGUAGAUAUCGAGAGGAACACUCGUGGCGAAGGCGGGUUCCUGGACAUUAACUGACGCUGAGGCACGAAGGCCAGGGGAGCGAAAGGGAUUAGAUACCCGUGUAGUC
rnacentral:rRNA from 1 species